rnacentral:rRNA from 1 species
GUGUCAGCAGCCGCGGUAAAACGUAGGACGCAAGCGUUAUCCGGAGUUACUGGGCGUAAAGCGCGGGCAGGCGGCUCUGUAAGUCUGAUGUGAAAGCGCCCAGCUUAACUGGGCGAGGCCAUUGGAAACUUCAGAGCUGGAGGGCAGUAGAGGCAGGCGGAAUUCCGGGUGGAGUGGUGAAAUGCGUAGAGAUCCGGAGGAACACCAGAGGCGAAGGCGGCCUGCUGGGCUGCACCUGACGCUGAGCCGCGAAAGCCAGGGGAGCGAACGGGAUUAGAAACCCCGGUAGUCC